rnacentral:rRNA from 1 species
UACGUAGGUGGCAAGCGUUGUCCGGAAUUAUUGGGCGUAAAGCGCGCGCAGGCGGCCUUUUAAGUCUGAUGUGAAAGCCCACGGCUCAACCGUGGAAGGUCAUUGGAAACUGAAAGGCUUGAGUACAGAAGAGGAAAGCGGAAUUCCACGUGUAGCGGUGAAAUGCGUAGAUAUCAGGAGGAACACCGGCGGUGUAGACGGCUUUCUGGACCGUAGCUGACGCUGAGACACGAAAGCGUGGGUAGCAAACAGG